CCCACAGCCUGCCCCCUUGUUCCCACGGUGUUUCCUUGUUCCCUAAAAAACCCUUGGGCGACCCUCGUGUAUAUUAUCUUGGGAAUCAUUGUCUAUAUUGACCGCGUGCAUAUUAAUCUUCUCUACUCUCUAGGCUCGAAAAAUAAAGGCUGUUCCAGAGGACUGUGUCGCUGUGAUCGUCAGGUGGCACGUUGUUUCAAACGGAACAAGUACAAUCCCAAAUUGAAAAAUAUUAACAAGAACAAAAUAUGUUAGAAGAAUGAAGUCCAACAAUUUCAUUGAGACGCACGUAGAAAAUGAAUAUAUAAACGAGAUCAGAGAUCCCAUGCAUGCAUUAAUGCGACAUUUAGCCAGUGCGUUUUGCGGCCCCGUUGCCGAAAUAUAAAUACAACAUAUAAUGAAAGGGUAAAUCAUGAUAUAUAAAGUUAUAUAUAAAAGUUAUAUAUAUAAAAUCAUGAUAUAUAAAAGUUGGCACUAUUCUAUAUACAGUGCAGUCGAACCUCACCUUACG
rnacentral:lncRNA from 1 species